rnacentral:rRNA from 1 species
CCUACGGGGGGCAGCAGUGAGGAAUAUUGGUCAAUGGCCGGAAGGCUGAACCAGCCAUGCCGCGUGAAGGUCAGUGCCCUAUGGGCGUUAAACUUCUUUUGUGCGGGAGCAAUAAUGGUCACGUGUGGCCAGACGAGAGUACCGUACGAAUAAGCAUCGGCUAACUCCGUGCCAGCAGCCGCGGUAAUACGGGGGAUGCAAGCGUUUUCCGGAUUUUUUUGGGUUAAAGGGUGCGUAGGCGGUGAGGUAAGUCAGCGGUGAAAUGCCCCCGCUCAACGGGGUGAAGUGCCAUUGAUACUGCCUUGCUGGAAUGCGGAUGACGUGGGAGGAAUGUGUGGUGUAGCGGUGAAAUGCAUAGAUAUCACACAGAACACCGAUUGCGAAGGCAUCUCACGAAUCCGCGAUUGACGCUGAUGCACGAAAGCGUGGGUAUCAAACAGGAUGAGAUACCCCGGUAGUC